UGGGCAAAGGACAAGACACUGCUGUGAAGGACAAAAAGAACCCUCUUCUCAUCUGGAAAACCCUCUCCUCACCUGGAAAAACCCUCCAAAAAAUGAGCUCAGGCUAAACGGCCAACAGAAAGUAAGCUGCUGCAUGUGUGCUCUCCAUCCCCCCUCUCACCUUGGAUUUCCACAUUAUGAUCAGCAGGCUAUGGAAGGACCAAGCUGCCUGAACCUGAAUUGACAUGCUGAACAGGAGGAAUCUAAUGACCAGCCCCUGGAUCGCCACAAAGGUCGGGACCACAAGUUCUCACCCAAAGCGCUGAGGGGUCCAUCGUGGUCAGGGUGAUUGCUGCUUAUCUUUGAUGUUCGCUGUAGGCACUUAAAAGACCAGCGGACCCUGAACGCGUCAGAGCCCUUGAAUUAACGGUUAGCACGGAGCAGUGCAGAGCCUCCUCGUCUAUGGUGUAACACAACUAUCAAAAAGAUGUGUGCAUAAUUUUAACCAUUUGUAUUCGUAAU